UAGGCGAAGGGAGGGGUCCCGGCGCCAUCUUGGCCGAGGCAGGAGGAGGAAGGGUGGGCCGGGAGGGCCGCCAUCUUGCAGCGGGGCCUAGCUGUUGUAGCCGCGGCGGUGUCUCCUCUUUGGUUCCCUCUGGCCGCCGCAGGCGAGCUGCUCGACCUUCUCCCCCGCCCCGCAACGACUCGUAGCUGGCGUCAGUCUGGGCGGUUGUCAGACGCUUGUCACGCCGCCUGACGGGUGCCUUAUUGCUGUAGGAACUAGGCAGCCCUCAGUCUGAGGCAACGGCACGCGUGAGCCCCUGAACCCGUGAGAGCCGAUUUCACGUGCAUAAGCAUUCAGGCUGUUACGUGGCGGGGUAACGGGAUCAUCUGAGGUGAAGGGCGAGCAGACUCACCAGAGGGACUCAUCAAAGUGCUUAAGAUGCUUUGAAACUGAAAUUGCAGCCAGGAAACAUUGCAGUUACCCAGCCGGGGAGGACUCCGAGGCAGAAUUAAGGUACAGCUUCGUCUCUGGGGCCUGAUCCUGCAGCUCUCAGUCACGAGAGGAGUCCUGGCUUGAGCGGUCCUCCUGGCUCUGACUGGGCAGGUUUUAAAGCAUCUGUUUUGUUCCCUAAAAAAAACGCACACCAAAGUAUCUCCAGAGAAACAUCUGUAGCCACACAACUCCCAACGCAUUAUUGUUGGACUCUUUGAUCUGCCUUUGUCCUCUUGAACUUCACAUGUAGGAAUGAUGUAGCCUUUUCCACUAUGUCAUGGAAAGCAGAGUGGGUGCCACUGGGGACUCCAAGGUGCUGCUGCAUCAGAACAAUGCUGCUUUGCCUUUCACAGCUGAGACAAGCUGUGUCAUUUUAUUGGCUUGUUAGACCCUGAAUGAGCGUGCGUAAGUCUGAGAGCCAGAGAAGGGAACCCCAAACACGUUUGCCUUUCGACCACUAUAUACACACAUAGGAAGUGUCAUCAGACAGCAUUUCUGUACUGUACGCUGUAACGUGGGUAUGGCACACAAAGCACUGUCUGUGAGCUCGCGGGUUAUAGAGUGAACUACCACUGUUUCUCCAUUUUCACCAUAUAAAGAACAGUAACAAAAAUCCUUCCUUUACAGCCCUGUGGGGUUUCUCUUUCCUCCUAUUUGUUAUAAUCUGAACCACCAACUUAAGCAUCUAGUACUUCUGUAGCUCACAAAGCAAGCUGUGGGCAUGGUCCUGGACGUAGUCUAACCACUCACAGAGACACUCUGUCAUUUAUUGCAAAGGCCUGGACCUAUAUGCAAUGACUGGAUGAGCUAUAACUACAGAAAUAUAGUAAGUUAUUGGAAGAGCGGAGGAUUUUUUUUUUUUUUUAAAUAAAUCAGGAAGAGUUUGUUGAUGGAUUGAUGAUUGACACUACUUAGUUCUGCUGCCAAUAAUAAAUUUUAUAUUGUAGCUACCCUUGAAGCAUAGAUUUAUCUUCUUUCCCUUCUUCCACAGUGCCUGCUACAGACUGUGUGGCACCAAUGAUUACAUGUAAUCGCAGCUGUUGUCUCUCCUUCCUCAACCCCAGCAGAAAGGGCAACGUGCCCCAUAGGAUGAGAAACAGCCAUAUACAUGCUACAGAACUAGCGAAGUCGUCAUUAACCAUGUUGUUCCAGUCACCGUAAAACCCCGUAUGUCAGUGAUUUAAACAGAUUCACGCAGGUAUGAAACGUGAUCCUUAGCAGCUAAUCCAAUAAAGAAACAAAAAUA